rnacentral:rRNA from 1 species
UACAGAGGGUGCGAGCGUUGUCCGGAAUCACUGGGCGUAAAGGGCGCGUAGGCGGCUUGGCAAGUGGAUGGUGAAAUCCCUCGGCUUAACCGAGGAACUGCCGUCCAAACUGCUUCGCUUGAGACCGGGAGAGGUGAGUGGAAUUCCCAGUGUAGCGGUGAAAUGCGUAGAUAUUGGGAAGAACACCGGUGGCGAAGGCGGCGAGCUGGUCCAUUACUGACGCUGAGGCGCGACAGCGUGGGGAGCAAACAGG